AUACCAGACUCCUACGGGAGGCAGCAGUGGGGAAUAUUGCGCAAUGGGCGAAAGCCUGACGCAGCGACGCCGCGUGAGGGAUGAAGGUCUUCGGAUCGUAAACCUCUGUCAGCAGGGAAGAACGGUCACUGUGCUAAUCAGCAGUGAAUUAACGGUACCUGCAAAGGAAGCACCGGCUAACUACGUGCCAGCAGCCGCGGUAAUACGUAGGGGGCAAGCGUUAUCCGGAUUUACUGGGUGUAAAGGGAGCGUAGACGGUUGUGCAAGUCUGAAGUGAAAGCCCGCGGCUCAACUGCGGAACGGCUUUGGAAACUGUGUAACUGGAGUGCUGGAGAGGUAAGCGGAAUUCCUGGUGUAGCGGUGAAAUGCGUAGAGAUCAGGAGGAACACCGGCGGCGAAGGCGGCUUACUGGACAGUAACUGACGUUGAGGCUCGAAAGCGUGGGGAGCAAACAGGAUUAGAUACCCGGGUACA
rnacentral:rRNA from 1 species